rnacentral:rRNA from 1 species
GAUGAACGCUGGCGGCGUGCCUAAUACAUGCAAGUCGAGCGAACGGACGAGAAGCUUGCUUCUCUGAUGUUAGCGGCGGACGGGUGAGUAACACGUGGAUAACCUACCUAUAAGACUGGGAUAACUUGGGGAAACCGGAGCUAAUACCGGAUAAUAUUUUGAACCGCAUGGUUCAAAAGUGAAAGACGGUCUUGCUGUCACUUAUAGAUGGAUCCGCGCUGCAUUAGCUAGUUGGUAAGGUAACGGCUUACCAAGGCAACGAUGCAUAGCCGACCUGAGAGGGUGAUCGGCCACACUGGAGCUUAGACACGGUCCAGACUCCUACGGGAGGCAGCAGUAGGGAAUCUUCCGCAAUGGGCGAAAGCCUGACGGAGCAACGCCGCGUGAGUGAUGAAGGUCUUCGGAUCGUAAAACUCUGUUAUUAGUGAAGAACAGAUGUGUAAUUAACUGUGCACAUCUUGACGGUACCUAAUCAGAAAGCCACGGCUAACUACGUG